rnacentral:tRNA from 1 species
GCCUUCGUGGUGUAAUAAAAGAGAACGUCCGGCUUGCAACUGGAAUGCCUGGAGUUCGAAUCUCAGCAAAAGCA